UCCCCGAUUUCCGGGGCAGUCUCCUUAGAGUUCCCGGCGUUACCCGCUGGCAACUAAGGAUAGGGGUUGCGCUCGUUGCGGGACUCAACCCAACAUCUCACGGCACGAGCUGACGACAGCCAUGCACCACCUGUGAAAGUGUCCCGAAGGAAAGCCGUGUUUCCACGGCGGUCACUUACAUGUCAAGCCCAGGUAAGGUUCUUCGCGUUGCGUCGAAUUAAACCACAUGCUCCGCUGCUUGUGCGGGCCCCCGUCAAUUCCUUUGAGUUUUAGCCUUGCGGCCGUACUCCCCAGGCGGGGCACUUAGUGCGUUAGCUGCGGCACGGAAGGAGUCGAUGACCUCCCACACCUAGCGCCCAUCGUUUACGGCGUGGACUAC
rnacentral:misc_RNA from 1 species